AGCGCUUCGGGAGAACCGAGACACGGGGCAGGGCCGCACGGACCCGCAGUGAGUCAAUUGCAGGCGAUGAAGGCACCGUGUUUGCCCAGUAGUUCUGAGAAGCAACAGCGACACAUCCUGAGCAUGGUUUUCACCACAUUUGGGACAACGGCCCGGGCACCAAAGUUCACCAUGUGCACACUUGGAUGACCAGACAUCCUUUAUGCAGGAAGUUGUGGUCUGGCAGAAUGAAGGUUGAUUGAAUUAUAGCUUGGUUCUUCAUGCCUCUCUACGGGUCACUGCUUUCUGGAAAAAGCAGAGUAAACAUAACUACACCUUUGUCAUUGAGUCAUGCGAGCUUUUAUCUUCAGAACAGAAAAGACAACCAAAUAUGGAGCCAUUGAAGGCCAGCUGAACAAGUUGUUCUAAAAGUGAAUUUCUCUAAUAAACAGCCUUUUAUUUUAGAAAUCUGUGUUUCUCUGGACCUAAGAAGAACUGAAAAUGAUGGUAUUCUUUUUUUUUCUGGUCACAAGUUAUUAUUUGGGGAUUUGGAGGAGGAAUGAAGAGAUGCAGAGAGAUUUGUCAAGACAGUUUAGGAUUCAAGAAUACUUAAAAAGGAAAGGCUGAGAGAAAAGCUAGGAAAGUAAUUGAUUCACAUGGCACAAUACAAGGAAGUUUCUCCUCUUUAUCAAGCAAAACCAUGUAUUGACUGCAGUCCAAAAGUAUCUGCAAUGAAAUAGAAACUUGAUACCUGGCUUCUCCAUCUAGCUGACACACAUAAGAGGAUGUGAUUGCUGAAUUUUAGAAGCUGAACAAAAUCAAACUGGAACUGACUGGUAUUAUUUUCCCUAAAUACAGAUCAGUUAACUACUGAAACAAAGUAAAUUAUAAUGGGCUUUCCAUCUCUAGUUUUAACCUCAAGAGAUAUCUGUCUUAAAAUAGGUAUUGUAGCUCAACUCAGCAAUAGUUCAGGAUAGCACAGAGACUUCUAUGACAAAACAGAUCAGCCCAGUGGAUGGUCAAAAUGGUUGUUCUAGCCUUAUCUUUAAUGGGGAGAAAAGUUGUCUUGGUUUUUCCUUCAUCUCUUCUAUGAGUUUACUUCGUGAUCCAUAUUUUUGCCUUUGUGGAGGCUGCUAUUUGUAAUGGAGCUUCAGGGCAUCUGCAGCUGUUUAAGAAAGGACAUAAUAAUUUCUAAAUGGUGUAGUGUGGCAAGGGAUCCAGGCUGCAUAAGAAUCUGUUCUAAAGAUGUCCAUGGAAGAGAGACAGCCACAUAUGGAAUUUUAGCACUCCUUUGUUCUGUUUAUUCCAGUUUCUCAGCAAUAGUCUUCUGCAUUAAUAUUUUGUCCAGUGAUUCUGCAUCACUAUAUGUAUGUGGUCAUAUCCAGAAGGUGGAAUACCAUUCUGGAUUAACAGUUUAAGACCCUUUAUUUACUUAUCUUGUACGCCUGUAUGAUUUUAAAUGCAGUGAAGGGUAUGUACAUCCUGACACUUGUUUUUUUAGGUUAUCCAAAACUUCUGAUGUACAAUUCGUCUUUUGUUUGUAAAGUGGUAUUUUGUCCUUUGAAUAAAAAGUGCAG